UACGUAGGGAGCAAGCGUUGUCCGGAAUCAUUGGGCGUAAAGCGCGCGUAGGUGGCCACAUAAGUCCGUUGUGAAAGUCAAAGGCUCAACCUUUGAAAGCCGAUGGAUACUGUGUGGCUAGAGUACGGAAGAGGCGAGUGGAAUUCCUGGUGUAGCGGUGGAAUGCGCAGAUAUCAGGAGGAACACCAAUAGCGAAGGCAGUUCUCUGGGCCGUACCUGACGCUGAGGAGCGAAAGCCAGGGGAGCAAACGGG
rnacentral:rRNA from 1 species